UACGAAGGGUGCAAGCGUUACUCGGAAUUACUGGGCGUAAAGCGUGCGUAGGUGGUUUGUUAAGUCUGUUGUGAAAGCCCCGGGCUCAACCUGGGAAUGGCAAUGGAUACUGGCAAGCUAGAGUGCGGUAGAGGGUAGUGGAAUUCCCGGUGUAGCGGUGAAAUGCGUAGAGAUCGGGAGGAACACCAGUGGCGAAGGCGGCCGACUGGGCCGACCCUGACGCUGAGGCGCGAAGGCGUGGGGAGCGAACGGG
rnacentral:rRNA from 1 species